UGGGGAAUUUUGGACAAUGGGCGAAAGCCUGAUCCAGCAAUGCCGCGUGUGUGAAGAAGGCCUUCGGGUUGUAAAGCACUUUUGUCCGGAAAGAAAUGGCUCUGGUUAAUACCUGGGGUCGAUGACGGUACCGGAAGAAUAAGGACCGGCUAACUACGUGCCAGCAGCCGCGGUAAUACGUAGGGUCCAAGCGUUAAUCGGAAUUACUGGGCGUAAAGCGUGCGCAGGCGGUUGUGCAAGACCGAUGUGAAAUCCCCGAGCUUAACUUGGGAAUUGCAUUGGUGACUGUACGGCUAGAGUGUGUCAGAGGGGGGUAGAAUUCCACGUGUAGCAGUGAAAUGCGUAGAGAUGUGGAGGAAUACCGAUGGCGAAGGCAGCCCCCUGGGAUAACACUGACGCUCAUGCACGAAAGCGUGGGGAGCAAACAGG
rnacentral:rRNA from 1 species